rnacentral:rRNA from 1 species
CGAAAGCCUGAGGAGCAAUACCGCGUGAGGGAGGAAGGCUCUUGGGUCGUAAACCUCUUUUCUCAGGGAAGAAAUCAAUGACGGUACCUGAGGAAUAAGCAUCGGCUAACUCCGUGCCAGCAGCCGCGGUAAUACGGAGGAUGCAAGCGUUAUCCGGAAUGAUUGGGCGUAAAGCGUCCGCAGGUGGCAGUACAAGUCUGCUGUCAAAGGUCAAGGCUUAACUUUGGACAGGCAGUGGAAACUGUACAGCUAGAGUAUGGUGGGGGCAGAGGGAAUUCCCAGUGUAGCGGUGAAAUGCGUAGAGAUUGGGAAGAACACCAGCGGCGAAGGCGCUCUGCUAGGCCAAAACUGACACUCAGGGACGAAAGCUAGGGGAGCG